rnacentral:rRNA from 1 species
UACGGAGGGUGCGAGCGUUAUCCGGAUUCACUGGGUUUAAAGGGUGCGUAGGUGGGUUGGUAAGUCAGUGGUGAAAUCUCCGUGCUUAACAUGGAAACUGCCAUUGAUACUACUGAUCUUGAAUUUUCCGGAGGUUAGCGGAAUAUGUCAUGUAGCGGUGAAAUGCUUAGAUAUGACAUAGAACACCGAUUGCGAAGGCAGCUAACUACAGGGAUAUUGACACUGAGGCACGAAAGCGUGGGGAUCAAACAGG